rnacentral:lncRNA from 1 species
AGCAAUUUAAUACUCACCUCGUCAUGGAUGUGGCUUAAAGACGGUGUGGACUGGCUUUAUAUAUGAAACAAAUUGUAAAUAAUCUACAAGUAACUUAAAGUCCUGAGCAAAAGCAGCUACUAAAGCACCACCUGGCUAUGCAACUCAAGAACUAUGUGUUUCCUGGUUAAAGCUUUGCCUAAACCUACUGAGUUUCAAGACCAUGAUUAUUUAUUUUGAUCUUCUUUGGAAAAGGCCACUAAAUAUCAUCAAAUACCUUGGGAAGACAAAAUUUGUGAAGUAAAAUAAAACCUGGAUAAAAUGGACUAAUGGAGUCAACCUGAAAAUGACAAGUAUUCUGCUGUUUAUUAUUAGGGUUUGGAUUCUAAUUUCACCAUUCUAGGAACUCCUCACCUCCUCAGACUUGUCUACAUGGUUUCUUAAUUUUAACACAAAGUGAUGUAUUUUCGGCCUGUGAUAAUCUUUUAUACUUAAUGCUAGUCUACAUGACUUAAUCUCAGAUCUGUGAAAUGAGGAUAAAAAAACUACCCAAUACAAUCCAAUACAAUUUUGUUAAAAUGAAAUGAUUUACUCUAGGCUCUAUAUAUAAAGUGCUUAGACAAGUGGCUAGCACUUAAGGGUAUACAAACACACACAUAUGAAUGUAUGUAUAACUGUGUAUAUUUGUAUAUAAUAACAAAUAUGUAUAGACAUGUAUAUAUAUUUGUAUAUAUGUAUAUAUAUUUGUAUAUUUGUAUGUAAUAACAAAUGUGUAUGUGUAUAUAUAUUAUCUCCCUAAAUUGGUUGCAAAUUUCUCAAGGGCAACAAAUAACAUUUUCUACUUUGUUUGUUUGUUUUUCUCAUAUAAUUAUUAUCCUUCUAAGAACACAGAAAGGACCCAAAAGCUUGCAUAAAGACUAAGCAGGAACAUAUUAAAGUGAGUCUCACUGUCUCAAUCAUUGUGCUGGGGAUUUUAUGGUUAUUUCAUCUAAUUCUUUUAACAAUUAUUGAAGCAAUUAUUUUUAGGCACAUUUUAAAGAUAAGAAAAUUGGCCUUAAGUAAUUUCUCUCAAGCUUGCAAACCUAGGACAUAGCAUAGCCUAGUUUGCAGCAUAUUUUAUUCUUAUUCCAUAUUCAUUGUUCUUUUCACACAUCAUCAUUGCCAAAUCUGCCUAAUUGAAUUAAUGAAUAUGUGAAGAAUCUAUGUCAAAAGAUUCACACUUCCCUAUGCUUUUAUAACAAAGGCUUUUUGUUUUUAAAUUUAGGACUUUUUAGAAAAUGAGAGCCAACACUGUAGAUAAUAAGAAUGAUAUUUGGAUCAUACCAUCUACAGUGAAGAGAAAUGUUCAAAUUAUGGUUUAUUAUUCCUUGUAUUCAGAAGCCUCAAAAAAAAGAAACAUAAUAAAAUAGAUCCUUAAGUUUGGUUUAAGAAGUAACAUUCUUUGAAAUAGUUGUGUUUUGUAUAAGAUACUAAAUUUAAAUAAUUCUUGGCUAAUUUAAUAUUUGACUUUUUGUUUAAUCCAUUCAGUGUUUACCAGAUAAUUAUUGUCCAAUUUUUUUCUAUUAAUGUACUUGAUAAUAAGAGUAAGAAUGAAAGAAUCAUUAGUACGAGACUACUAGAUUUCCAGAGUUUUAUGUCUUAAAAUUCCCUAAAACCUGUGAAUGUUACUUUUGAUUUUAGAAAAUUAUAUUACAAAUUGUAUUCUAUUAGAGCCAAAAGGUAGUCUGAAAGGAAUGGUCAUUAUGCUCUUAUAUUCAAAAAUUAUAAUUGAUAUGAUAAACUGCAAAUUUAAACUUUAGAAAUAGAGUAAAAAUUAUGUAUAUAUAUAAUUUAUACUAGACAAAUUAAAAAAUUUACAUUAAAACUCUUACAAACAUCAGACACACAGACAGUCAUAUUUGCAUCAAUUUAAUGUAAAUACAAGUGAACAAACAGAAAACAUUCAGGAUGGCAUUCAUAAAACAUCUUCUGAGUACCCAGAAAGCUCUAGGUAAAUUGGAAAACCUGGCAAAAUUUUUCACAUAAUUUAAUUGAUAUUCGGUAAAUUAGAAAUAAAUGAGAUUUUGUUUAGUUUCUUUAAUAAUGCUUUAUAAAUCUAGUAUACCACCUUAUCUCAGGCAUCAAAAACUAUAUUAUUAUUUCUAUUUGAAUAUGGAUACAUGCAUGUAACACUUUUCUGUUAUGACAUUCACUAAUCCUUCAUAUAAUUACAGAAGUAAAAAACUGACACGUGAAGAUUUGUUGUAAUCGAUUUUACUACACUUUAUACUGGUAAUAAACAUCUCAACUGUAUAAUUCCUACUUUUUUCAAUGUCAGAAAAAUGACACACACACACAAACCCGUGAUUCAUUUUGAAUUAUGCUUAUUGAAGUUUUAAAAAUAAAAUAUUGAUUGGGAAGAACUUGAAAAUAGAGCUUGACCUCCAAAUAUAUCCAUAUCCUAAUCCCUGGAACCUGUGAAUGCUACCUUAUAUGGCAAAAAGGACUUUGAUUAAGUUAAAGAUCUUGAUGUGGAGGGAUUAUCUGGAUUAUCCAUGUGGGUCAUAAACAUCAUAACAAGUGUGUCCUUAUAAGAGGGAGGAAUGGAAGAGAAGAUGAGAAAGCAAUGCAAUGUCAGACAUAGAGAUGAGAGUGAUGUGGCAGGCAAGAAGCCACGGAUUUCCAGUACCUGCCAGAAGCCAGAAACAGCAAGCAAUUUUCUCCUUAGAGACUCCAGAAGGGCUAAGCCCUGCUGACAUCUUGACUUUACCCCCAAAAAAGUGACUUCUAAUUUCUGGACUUCAGAAGUGUGAGAAAAUAAAUGUGUUUCAAGACACCA